AUUGAACGCUGGCGGCAGGCCUAACACAUGCAAGUCGAGCGGAUGAAGGGAGCUUGCUCCUGGAUUCAGCGGCGGACGGGUGAGUAAUGCCUAGGAAUCUGCCUGGUAGUGGGGGAUAACGUCCGGAAACGGGCGCUAAUACCGCAUACGUCCUGAGGGAGAAAGUGGGGGAUCUUCGGACCUCACGCUAUCAGAUGAGCCUAGGUCGGAUUAGCUAGUUGGUGGGGUAAAAGCCUACCAAGGCGACGAUCCGUAACUGGUCUGAGAGGAUGAUCAGUCACACUGGAACUGAGACACGGUCCAGACUCCUACGGGAGGCAGCAGUGGGGAAUAUUGGACAAUGGGCGAAAGCCUGAUCCAGCCAUGCCGCGUGUGUGAAGAAGGUCUUCGGAUUGUAAGGCACUUUAAGUUGGGAGGAAGGGCAGUAAGUUAAUACCUUGCUGUUUUGACGUUACCAACAGAAUAAGCACCGGCUAACUUCGUG
rnacentral:rRNA from 1 species